CCUACGGGAGGCAGCAGUAGGGAAUCUUCCACAAUGGACGAAAGUCUGAUGGAGCAACGCCGCGUGAGUGAAGAAGGGUUUCGGCUCGUAAAGCUCUGUUGGUAGUGAAGAAAGAUAGAGGUAGUAACUGGCCUUUAUUUGACGGUAAUUACUUAGAAAGUCACGGCUAACUACGUGCCAGCAGCCGCGGUAAUACGUAGGUGGCAAGCGUGGUCCGGAUUUAUUGGGCGUAAAGCGAGUGCAGGCGGUUCAAUAAGUCUGAUGUGAAAGCCUUCGGCUCAACCGGAGAAUUGCAUCAGAAACUGUUGAACUGGAGUGCGGAAGAGGAGAGUGGAACUCCAUGUGUAGCGGUGGAAUGCGUAGAUAUAUGGAAGAACACCAGUGGCGAAGGCGGCUCUCUGGUCUGCAACUGACGCUGAGGCUCGAAAGCAUGGGUAGCGAACAGGAUUAGAUACCCGAGUAGUC
rnacentral:rRNA from 1 species